UAGGGUCCAAGCGUUAUCCGGAUUUACUGGGUGUAAAGGGCGAGUAGACGGCGCUGUAAGUCAGCUGUGAAAACUUAGGGCUCAACCUUAAGCCUGCAGCUGAAACUGUGGCGCUAGAGUGCAGGAGAGGUAAGCGGAAUUCCUAGUGUAGCGGUGAAAUGCGUAGAUAUUAGGAGGAACACCAGUGGCGAAGGCGGCUUACUGGACUGUAACUGACGUUGAGGCGCGAAAGUGUGGGGAGCAA
rnacentral:rRNA from 1 species